CCUACGGGGGGCUGCAGUGGGGAAUAUUGGACAAUGGGGGGAACCCUGAUCCAUCCAUGCCGCGUGUGUGAAGAAGGCCCUCGGGUUGUAAAGCACUUUCAGUGAGGAAGAACGCCUGGUGGUGAAUACCCAUCAGGAAAGACAUCACUCACAGAAGAAGCACCGGCUAACUCCGUGACAGCAGCCGCGGUAAUACGGAGGGUGCGAGCGUUAAUCGGAAUUACUGGGCGUAAAGCGCGCGUAGGUGGCUUGAUAAGCCGGUUGUGAAAGCCCCGGGCUCAACCUGGGAACGGCAUCCGGAACUGUCAAGCUAGAGUGCAGGAGAGGAAGGUAGAAUUCCCGGUGUAGCGGUGAAAUGCGUAGAGAUCGGGAGGAAUACCAGUGGCGAAGGCGGCCUUCUGGCCUGACACUGACACUGAGGUGCGAAAGCGUGGGUAGCAAACAGGAUUAGAUACCCGGGUAGUC
rnacentral:rRNA from 1 species